CCGCGGUAACACGUAGGAGGCAAACGUUAUCCGGAUUUACUGGGCGUAAAGCGCGUGUAGGUGGUACUGUAAGUAGGGCAUGAAAGCUCCUGGCACAACUGGGAGAGGCCGUUCUAAACUACAGAACUAGAGGAUGGUAGAGGGAGGUGGAAUUCCAGGUGUAGCGGUGGAAUGCGCAGAUAUCUGGAGGAACACCGGUGGCGAAGGCGGCCUCCUGGACCAUUCCUGACACUCAGACGCGAAAGCUAGGGUAGCAAACGG
rnacentral:rRNA from 1 species